GCCCCAGUGGCGCAGUGGUUAAGCUCUUGGCUGCUAACCAAAAGGUUGAAAGUUUGAGUCCUCCCAGAGGCA
rnacentral:tRNA from 1 species